rnacentral:rRNA from 1 species
CCUACGGGAGGCAGCAGUGGGGAAUAUUGCGCAAUGGGGGCAACCCUGACGCAGCAACGCCGCGUGAUUGAAGAAGGCCUUCGGGUUGUAAAGAUCUUUAAUCAGGGACGAAAAAUGACGGUACCUGAAGAAUAAGCUCCGGCUAAAUACGUGGCAGCAGCCGCGGUAAUACGUAGGGAGCCAGCGUUAUUCGGAUUUACUGGGUGUAAAGGGCGUGUAGGCGGGCCUGUAAGUCAGAAGUGAAAUCUGGGGGCUUAACCCCCAAACUGCAUUUGAAACUGGGGGUCUUGAGUGAUGGAGAGGCAGGCGGAAUUCCCAGUGUAGCGGUGAAAUGCGUAGAUAUUAGGAGGAACACCAGUGGCGAAGGCGGCCUGCUGGACAUGAACUGACGCUGAGGCGCGAAAGCGUGGGGAGCAAACAGGAUUAGAUACCCGGGUAGUC